rnacentral:rRNA from 1 species
UACGGGGGGGGCAAGCGUUGUUCGGAAUUACUGGGCGUAAAGGGCUCGUAGGUGGCCAACUAAGUCGGACGUGAAAUCCCUCAGCUUAACUGGGGAACUGCGUCCGAUACUGGAUGGCUUGAGUUUGGGAGAGGGAUGCGGAAUUCCAGGUGUAGCGGUGAAAUUCGUAGAUAUUGGGAGGAACACCAGCGGCGAAGGCGGCGACCUGGUCAGAUACUGACGCUGAGGCGCGAAAGCGUGGGGAGCAAACAGG